UUUCCUCUCAACAGCUAGUCCUCCCUCCAAAAUCCAACAACCAACAUUAAUAACCACUCAUCCCCUACAAAUUUAAAACAAACCAUUUUUCCCCCUUAGUAUAGGAGACAGAAAAGGAACAUGGCACUAUAGAGAAAGUACCGCAAGGGAAAGCUGAAAGAGAAAUGAAAUAACUUAGUAAAGAGAAAGAAAGCAGAGACACAACCUCGUACCUUUUGCAUCAUGACUUAGCAAGACACUCUCAAGCAAAAUGACUUUUAGUUUGAAACCCCGAAACUAAGCGAGCUACUCCAAGGCAGCCUAUCUAGGGCACACCCGUCUCUGUGGCAAAAGAGUGGGAAGACCUUUGAGUAGAGGUGACAGACCUACCGAGCUUAGUAAUAGCUGGUUGCCUACAAAAUGAAUAGAAGUUCAGCCUUAAAGAUUCUUGUUCCAAUAUGUUAUUACUAUCAGUGAGCCCAAGAAACUUAAAGAGUUAUUCAAGGGGGGAACAGCCCCCAUGAAAGAAGAUACAACUUUUCCAGCAGGCUAAAGAUCAUAACUUUUAAGGAAACAUGCCUUAGUGGGCCUAAAAGCAGCCACCCAUAGAGAAAGCGUUAAAGCUCAAGCAUUUUUUCUCCCCAAUACCGACACAAUAAUCUCAAGCCCCUGCCCUAUAGUAGGCCUUUCCAUGCAACCAUGGAAGAGAUAAUGCUAAUAUGAGUAAUAAGAGGGCUUGCCCCUCUCCACAACGCCUGUGCACAUCAGAACGAACCCCCACUGAAAACUAACGCUCCCAACUUAAAAUGAGGGAAUUGAGACACCCUAAGAUAAACCAGAAAAAUUCUCACAAACAUAGCGUUAAUCCAACACAGGAGCGUCCAUGGAAAGACUAAAAGAAAAAGAAGGAACUCGGCAAACACUGGCCUCGCCUGUUUACCAAAAACAUCGCCUCUUGCAUAAUUUACCCUAAGCGUAUAAGAGGUCCUGCCUGCCCUGUGACUGGCAGUUUAACGGCCGCGGUAUUUUGACCGUGCGAAGGUAGCGUAAUCACUUGUCUUUUAAAUGGAGACCUGUAUGAAUGGCAUAACGAGGGCUAAGCUGUCUCCUUUUUCUAGUCAAUGAAAUUGAUCUUCCCGUGCAGAAGCGGGAAUAAACACAUAAGACGAGAAGACCCUAUGGAGCUUUAGACACAAGUGCAGCUCAUGUAAAACCACCCAAAUUAAAGGAAAUAACAAGAUAAUGUCUGCCCUCAUGUCUUUGGUUGGGGCGACCGCGGGGAAACAAAAAUCCCCCAUGUGGAAUGAAAACUUCCUUUUAAACAAGAGCCACAGCUCUAAUUACCAGAACAUCUGACCAACAAGAUCCGGCAUAGCCGAUUAACGGACCGAGUUACCCUAGGGAUAACAGCGCAAUCCCCUUUUAGAGCCCAUAUCGACAAGGGGGUUUACGACCUCGAUGUUGGAUCAGGACAUCCUAAUGGUGCAGCCGCUAUUAAGGGUUC
rnacentral:rRNA from 1 species